UACAGAGGUCUCAAGCGUUGUUCGGAAUCACUGGGCGUAAAGCGCACGUAGGCGGAUUGCUAAGUCAGGGGUGAAAUCCUGGAGCUCAACUCCAGAACUGCCUUUGAUACUGGCGAUCUCGAGUCCGGGAGAGGUGAGUGGAACUGCGAGUGUAGAGGUGAAAUUCGUAGAUAUUCGCAAGAACACCAGUGGCGAAGGCGGCUCACUGGCCCGGUACUGACGCUGAGGUGCGAAAGCGUGGGGAGCAAACAGG
rnacentral:rRNA from 1 species